rnacentral:rRNA from 1 species
GAUGAACGCUGGCGGCGUGCCUAAUACAUGCAAGUCGAGCGAACAGACGAGGAGCUUGCUCCUCUGACGUUAGCGGCGGUCGGGUGAGUAACACGUGGAUAACCUACCUAUAAGACUGGGAUAACUUCGGGAAACCGGAGCUAAUACCGGAUAAUAUAUUGAACCGCAUGGUUCAAUAGUGAAAGACGGUUUUGCUGUCCCUUAUAGAUGGAUCCGCGCCGCAUUAGCUAGUUGGUAAGGUAACGGCUUACCAAGGCAACGAUGCGUAGCCGACCUGAGAGGGGGACCGGCCACACUGGAACUGAGACACGGUCCAGACUCCUACGGGAGGCAGCAGUAGGGAAUCUUCCGCAAGGGGCGAAAGCCUGACGGAGCAACGCCGCGUGAGUGAUGAAGGUCUUCGGAUCGUAAAACUCUGUUAUUAGGGAAGAACAAAUGUGUAAGUAACUAUGCACGUCUGGACGGUACCUAAUCAGAAAGCCACGGCUAACUACGU